rnacentral:rRNA from 1 species
UGCAGUCGAACGAUGAAGCUUCUAGCUUGCUAGAAGUGGAUUAGUGGCGCACGGGUGAGUAAGGUAUAGUUAAUCUGCCCUACACAAGAGGACAACAGUUGGAAACGACUGCUAAUACUCUAUACUCCUGCUUAACACAAGUUGAGUAGGGAAAGUUUUUCGGUGUAGGAUGAGACUAUAUAGUAUCAGCUAGUUGGUAAGGUAAUGGCUUACCAAGGCUAUGACGCUUAACUGGUCUGAGAGGAUGAUCAGUCACACUGGAACUGAGACACGGUCCAGACUCCUACGGGAGGCAGCAGUAGGGAAUAUUGCGCAAUGGGGGAAACCCUGACGCAGCAACGCCGCGUGGAGGAUGACACUUUUCGGAGCGUAAACUCCUUUUCUUAGGGAAGAAUUCUGACGGUACCUAAGGAAUAAGCACCGGCUAACUCCGUGCCAGCAGCCGCGGUAAUACGGAGGGUGCAAGCGUUACUCGGAAUCACUGGGCGUAAAGGGCGCGUAGGCGGAUUAUCAAGUCUCUUGUGAAAUCUAAUGGCUUAACCAUUAAACUGCUUGGGAAACUGAUAGUCUAGAGUGAGGGAGAGGCAGAUGGAAUUGGUGGUGUAGGGGUAAAAUCCGUAGAUAUCACCAAGAAUACCCAUUGCGAAGGCGAUCUGCUGGAACUCAACUGACGCUAAGGCGCGAAAGCGUGGGGAGCAAACAGGAUUAGAUACCCUGGUAGUCCACGCCCUAAACGAUGUACACUAGUUGUUGGGGUGCUAGUCAUCUCAGUAAUGCAGCUAACGCAUUAAGUGUACCGCCUGGGGAGUACGGUCGCAAGAUUAAAACUCAAAGGAAUAGACGGGGACCCGCACAAGCGGUGGAGCAUGUGGUUUAAUUCGAAGAUACGCGAAGAACCUUACCUGGGCUUGAUAUCCUAAGAACCUUUUAGAGAUAAGAGGGUGCUAGCUUGCUAGAACUUAGAGACAGGUGCUGCACGGCUGUCGUCAGCUCGUGUCGUGAGAUGUUGGGUUAAGUCCCGCAACGAGCGCAACCCACGUAUUUAGUUGCUAACGGUUCGGCCGAGCACUCUAAAUAGACUGCCUUCGUAAGGAGGAGGAAGGUGUGGACGACGUCAAGUCAUCAUGGCCCUUAUGCCCAGGGCGACACACGUGCUACAAUGGCAUAUACAAUGAGACGCAAUACCGCGAGGUGGAGCAAAUCUAUAAAAUAUGUCCCAGUUCGGAUUGUUCUCUGCAACUCGAGAGCAUGAAGCCGGAAUCGCUAGUAAUCGUAGAUCAGCCAUGCUACGGUGAAUACGUUCCCGGGUCUUGUACUCACCGCCCGUCACACCAUGGGAGUUGAUUUCACUCGAAGCCGGAAUACUAAACUAGUUACCGUCCACAGUGGAAUCAGCGACUGGG